ACAACCCAUGGUCAGAAACAAAGGCAAUAGAUUCUGUAGCGGCGAGUAAAAAGUAGUUUAGAAUACUCUAAGGGAGGAAAAGCAAAAUGGACAGCUGGGAGAGCUUGUGCCUGGUUGCCUCUGUGUGCUUGGUGGGGGAAGCCUAUACUUAUAAAUUGAGGACCCAGGUGAUGAGGGGGAUGCAGAGAUAAACAAGAGAACCCCGCUUCUGCUUGGGAGGGUGGACAGACCUCUGAGUGCACGCCUAAGUUCCGAACCCUGGCAGCCCCUGCCGGGCCUCUGGUUUAAGAGAUGCUGCUCCCCAGUGCAAAUCUUGAUGUGCGGGCAUACACUCCUGUGAACUUCCGUUAGUGACCCCGGAACACCAGCAGUGCUGACCCUCUUCCUAGAUGGCUCGGUGUGUCAUCCUGCCAAGGGACAGAGAAUGAGAUUCCAGAUCAAGAAAACUCUCACUAAGUGCAGCUGUUUCCCUGUUGCAGAUGGAGACCCCAAAGCAGAGUCAGGCCGGCCCCCGACAUUGGCAGGGCCAGGCAAGGCCACGAGAGGAGGCCCACACAUGUGACGUCCAAUACUGAAAUACAAGUUCUUCAGCCUCGCAUGUGGGCUUUGAAAAGGAACUCUGAACAGCCUGAGUGUGGGAAGAGGGAGCAGGAAGAGAAGGAAGAAAGGAGAAAGGAGUAUUCUUAGAGCCAGGACCUUCUGAGGAAGAACUGGAAAAAGGCAGAGAGGGAAGAGUUGGGGUGGAACCACCUUGAAGCUUACUGUGUGGCGGUCCUUCCUCAGGUGAGCUGAGCACCAAUGCCACCUUUUGAACGUAAUUAUUCACAUCUAUUUGGUGAGUCCCUAGAAGGUGAAGACGAUGGAUUUUUCUCUAGUUUUUCAUAAUUUGCAGCACAAAAACAACGUAAAAUGCAAGCAUAGGUAAUCAAAAAUGUUUUAAUGAUUAAUUUUUGGACAUUAUUUGACAGUGUGGGUAUAUCCAGAUGAGCUAAAGCACACUUUGACAGCACACUAUUGAAUGUUUAGUUUCUGUAUUGAAAUAUGUAAAGACUUUCGCAAACCAGUACCUAGGAAGACAUACAUUUACAAAUAUACACAUUCUAGAGUUGAUAAGGUAAAUGUAAACAGAUGCUGUGACUCCUUCCAAACAGAAAACCCACAAGACUAAUAAGAGAACCAACUGGUUCCCUAUAAUAUGAAUGUGCAAAAUUAAAGCAUGAUAUUUACAUAAAUAUCAAACCAACAAAUUAGUUUAUACAUUGUCAAUGACUUUCUAAGAUGUGUCAUGAGUGGUUCGACGAAUAUUUCUUCCCCCAGUGGAGAAGGUAUUCAGAGACUAAAUUCUGACACCCCAAAAUGACACACACAUUAGUCCUUGUCGAUCAGACCACUGCCUCACGGGUGCGAGACAUGAUUCCAUAAGUAGUCUACUAUUUUUAAACAAGCGAUUCUAAACAAAUUUUUAUAUUCUAAGC